ensembl:lncRNA
GAGUGAGUCGCCUGCACCUCCAAUUUCCUCGUCCUCCUCUUCCGCCUCCUCUUCCGCCUCCUCUUCUGCCUCCUCUGUUGGAUCCACAUACAUAUAUACCUUUCUCUGGGCUCAUAUAUGUAUAUUUUGCAUUUCGGCCUCUUUUUUUCUUGGUUUGUCUUGUGAGCAGAAACCAAAUGGAUUUUUUUUUUUUGUGGUGGAGGAGGGGGGGCAGGGGAGAUAGGGGAGUCUUUUUUUUUGGGUGGGGGUGUUAGGGGGGUGUGCAUGUGGUGUUGGGUAACGGCUGAAAUCUCCUCGUCGCCCCCCCCCCGUUCCUACCCUCUCCUUCGUAACCCUGACUGCAUGCGGGACAUCUGCCUGCGUCCCAUCCCCUCAGACCCCCUCCAGCAGCGCCACGCACCCCAGCCCCCCUCCCUCCGCCCUGGCUCUCCCUCUGCCCCAGACGGAGCAUCUCCAGCGGGCACCUGGACCAGACGCCUGGAGGACACGGGAGGAAAUACUCUGUCUUCUCACCACUUUCUCUCCGACAGGAUAUCAUCUGACACAGCAGUGCUCAUCCUGUGCCUAGCAGGCUAAACCGAGGGGGAAUCAAGCACACAGGUCAACAUUUAAAGGAAAAAGGAAUUGUAACUUAUUUACUUUGUGCCUCGGCAGAUAUGGACGCCCGAGUGUCUUGGCGUAUUCGCACAAUUUGCAUUCUCAUGUUGGUUUGAUGUUAUGCAUGUACAUUAAUAUUAUUAUUUUGGCGUAGGUAUUCAUUUCGUUGAGGAUGGCGCUCAUCUUGGCAUAUUUUCGCUUUCGUGUGUUUUUAUUUCCGCUAAUGCCUUCAAGAGCAAUUCAGUUUUUGCACAGGGAGCAAUAGAGAGAAGUGAGCGAGCGAGGAGAAGGAGGGAGUGAGAGACUAGAAGGAGGUAGGGAGAGAGAGAGGAAGAAGGAUGGAGGAUCAGCACCACAGCUGUAACAGAUAAAUGUCCGACAUGGUCUGUUCUUAUGGUCCACCACAUGGACCGCGAGCCAUCAUCCGUUGUCCGGGAUGAUUCAUUUAGCAUAGCAUCUCCAUCCAGCCUCUACAUACAGGGAGUGUCGUCAUCCUUUGUUAUGCUACCACAAGCAGGCUCUGACUGCAGGAAUGAACUAGCAAGCAGUUACCAGGGCUUCACGGGGAAUCACGGAAAAGGUACAUUUCUCCCCCUCCGUCUCUCGUGCUCCGGUGCGUUGCGUGAUCUGCAUUAGCGGCGUUAAUUCCAGCAUUGGGAAAACAGCAUGCGUGUUACUUUGACUGACGUGUAGUGUUGCUCUCUGUGUGAGUGUUGCUGGAGGCAUUUUGCUUCCACAUACGUCCGCCAACACACUCACCCCCACAUGCAGGGGAAGGGACACGCGUGCAGCCGCUCCGUCUCCGUCACAUGUAUGUGCUUGCAACGGGAGUCCAUGUUUUCUCCAUGUUUUAUGAGUCUGCGUGUGUACUAGGUGAGCGUGGGCUUGGCGGCGCGCCUCGACAUGUGAAACGGACUGCAUAGCGGCGCCACAACCAAGACGACAGGGACAGAGCCUUUCAUUUGCAUCCCACGAGGAGACAAGGAGCCCCCCAGGGACGAAGGGAUGAGGGUCACUGGAGCCCCCCCCCCCCCCGAGGCUACAUGUUUCACCACGGCAGACUCCGAGACACGUGCCACCAGCCCCCCCGACCCCCACCCACCCAAAGAGGCCCCACCCCCUACUCAGACAUGCUUAUGUUAGAACCAUUAUCUUCCUGCUCACCAUAUCCCACAAGGUCCGGCAGAAAGACUCAGGAGGAUGUCUGGGUAGCCGGUGUGACACUCGUGGUCCUGAAGCCACUGUCACAGUAGGACACCUAUGGGAGUCUAAAGGAACUGCUUACCUACAUAAUGUUGGGAAAGAAUAUAGGCAAUAGCUUAGAAGGUGGUCAAUAUUUGUUCUGAGGGUGUUUUAAUAAAGUGUGUGUGUUCACAAUGAGGCUUGAUGGUUAGAAUUAAAGUUAUAUAAUAGCUCCAAAGGUGGUGAACAAUACAAGAAGUGUUAGGAGCAUAGUUAUUAACUUACACAUUAUUAUCCCCAUAGUUUUCACACAUUUCAGACCUACAAAACGCUUGGCUCAAACCAGAUUGAGAAAUCCUAUUAAAUAUCUUAAUUUUAUGGGUAAUACUCAUGGUGGUGAAAUGUCCCAAUGUCUGCUUUACAGUAAAAUAACCAUAGACAAUGCCUAGCUGUUCAUAUCAUCCACGGACAGAAUAUUCUAACUUCGGCCUCAAAAUAAAUUGUGUUUUGUCGCCACCCGCUGGUCCUUUUAACAUCUUAGCCGCCAUUUUCUAUGUUUUUGACCGGAAUUAAUUGGGAAUGACCCAAACCAACAGUGUAAAUUAGGUCUUCAAUUUAAAUGUUUAAGCAAAUAUUAUUUGCACGGUCAUUGCAAUGUUUAUAUGUGCGCAGCCUCCUGUGUGAACGCAGCCGAGUUGACUGACAUCAUGAGGUGAGCUUGUACAUAACCUAAGCGUCUGAUUCAGCGUUAUUAGAUGACAGUCCAAGCAUGGUUUGAAUUGUUUGCUUAUUUCCGCAGUGUUGGGGAAACUACUUUGAAAAAAAUCCUUUAGUUUACCAAGUAGCCAAUUACUUCAGAUUCAAUUUGGUAAACUAAGCUAUUACUGUAUAUUUAAAAUGUAUUUUAAGUAGAUAUCCAAGUUGACCUAUUAAACACGAUUUCAAGUGAGAAUUAAGCAGGUUUGAUAUAAAAAAUAAAGCAUUGCCUAUAAUCCCAUAUUUUACUAACUACGCAAGGAAUCGUGGUCCUACUAGUACUAUAGCUGUAAUUGUUACCAAGUAAACAACUGAAAGCACUACCGUGAUUACAAUGUAGUAAAACCACCAUCAAGCUAACACAAAGUUUAAUUAUACGCAGUUCAUGACUCCCCAAAACUGAGCUCUGACAAUAUUUAGAUUUUCAAAUUUCAUUGCCUUUCUGUUGAGUCUGUAUUUUAUGGAAGACAAUUUACUGGCGGUAGGUAGCUACUUUGUCAACUUGUAAAUACCUCCAGUAAAUUGUCUCUCACAAAAUACAGACUUUUGCAUUGAAAAACAUUUAGCUAAUUUUCACUGCAGAUUGUCAGCACUUUCUGAAUAGCUUGAACUGCAACUAAUGUAGGUACUGUAGAUAUUAGCUAAUCUUUUGUUGUGGAACGUUACAUGCUUACAACAAAGUUAAUUGCAUUGAAACUCGCUAGGAAACGGCAAAAACAAGUCUCUUAUGUCAACGAAUGCAUGUGUAAAAUCUUUCUGGCCUCUACUUACAAGGCAUGGGCCGCUUUAAUUUGUUCUUUGCUAUCAAUUCAUUGUUAAACACAUUUUUUCGCCAGGUAGCGGGCUAAGGAAAAAUGACGUCACCUGCAUUAAAAAAAAGCUUACUUAUGUAGAAGUUAAUAUGGUUAUAAUUUCAACAAUAGAAACUAACAGUCAAGCGACCAGAGUCAUUGAGUUCCCCCACCAGGAACUGUUCAGUUGAUAACCACUGCUCCAUUUUCAAUGAAAACCCAAGCCCCCCUAUAAUUGAGUUCACAAAGUAUAUUCUCCAGCAUUUGCGUUUUCCUACAACAUAUUUCUGAAUUAUGUUAAGUCCCCUCGAAAAAUCCACAGAAAGAAUCCAACAUAAUUUCUGGAGUCAUUCAAUGAUUUGAACAUUCUAAUUAUAAAAGCCAAU